GUUCAAUAAACAGCCACAACAGAGACAGGAGUUCGAGAGCAGAGUAGAGAAUAGAGUUCUUGUUGCGUUGACGUUGGGAGUUAAAAGGCUUUGGAAGAGUGUGUACAUACGUGCAGUCAGGAAGCAGCACACACGUGGAGAGGAAACAUGAAUACGGUUGUUAUUAGAGAUUAAAGCAUGUCUCGUUCCGCUCUUUAGCUUUAAUAAUAGAACGGGUCAUCCACACAAUGUCCCUGUCACUUGUAGGAAAUACUGCAGAAACACACUUUUAACCGUGGAAGGUUUCUUCUUGCACCGUGUGGAUGUACGUACCAGGACACGUGCUGUAAGAAGACAUAUUUUACUGACAGACCUUGUCAUGGCGUCAGAGGAAUCCCAACACUAUAACUAGUGCGACAAUGACCAAUGCUGCUAAUGUUUCUAGUAUUACCACUUCCUGGAGCCAUAAAGUGGUUUUGUUGUUUAACUUUGAGGCACAAAGGCAUAUAGGUAAGUGCCCGCUAAUGAGAACAGGUGAGGAUGGAAAAGCAAACAGUUUUUGAACGUGUCGUAUGCCUGUAAACAAGGUGCGAUGUAAUGCAAGGGCAUCGGCGUGGUAAUUGAAUGCUACGGAAUGCGGAUUAAAAGGAUUGAAAGACACGCAGCACACUGAACACGCGUCGGAUCGUGUUCUCCCGUUUAAGACUUACAUUGGAAAUGUGUAAUGGCCUCUAAACCACUAAUACUGCUACUGGUACUACUGCUCAUACUGGUACUUCUACUGCAACCUUUCCUGAUGCUACAAAUACUUUAAUUUGACUGUUAUUACGACUACUACUAAUACAAACGCAAUACUACUAUUACUACAACUAAUUCUACCAAUAUUUCAACAACUGUAGAAGACACAUUUAGGCUAAUAUUUCAUAUUUAUGUACUUUAUUUGCGUCCAUCCAUUGUGGUUAACAUUGUUUUAAGAUAAGCAAACCAACAGACGUCGUCUGUGUCUUUGAGAAUGACAUUAAGGUAAAAAAUCUCCUAAAAUGAAAGGUCUUUAAUUAUUUUCCC
ensembl:lncRNA